UUGAGUGAGAAAUUAUUAAGUCAGUUUUUCAUAUCAUUUCUAUGAAUUCGAAAGUCUUAUUUUCAGUACCCGCUAGACAUUAUUUAUAAAGUGAAUUUGACACAUGUCCUCUCUAUAAUCGUUUUCACCAAAUAAAUAUGACAAGGCAUAAUAGAAAUGAUGACAUAGUUUAUGGUUAAAUGUGAUAUGAACAGUUGCAUUUAAUGUUUAUUAUAUUUUUGGUAAAUGUUUUAGAAUAUGGUAUUAAAUUAUACAUCAUCACUAAAGUAAGUCUAUUCAAAUAUGACACUAAAUGAUAUAAUAAUAAAAUUAUAAGUAUUUUUACAAA
rnacentral:lncRNA from 1 species